GAUGAACGCUGGCGGCGUGCUUAACACAUGCAAGUCGAGCGAGUGAGUUCUUCGGAACGAUCUAGCGGCGGACGGGUGAGUAACACGUGGGCAACCUGCCUCAUAGAGGGGAAUAGCCUCCCGAAAGGGAGAUUAAUACCGCAUAAAAUUAUCGAGUGGCAUCACAUGAUAAUCAAAGGAGUAAUCCGCUAUGAGAUGGGCCCGCGGCGCAUUCGCUAGGUGGCGAGGUAGCGGCCGACCAAGGCGACGAUGCGUAGCCGACCUGAGAGGGUGAUCGGCCACAUUGGGACUGAGACACGGACCAGACUCCUACGGGAGGCAGCAGUGGGGAAUAUUGCACAAUGGGGGAAACCCUGAUGCAGCAACGCCGCGUGAGUGAUGAAGGUCUUAGGAUUGUAAAGCUCUGUCUUUGGGGGCGAUAAUGACGGUACCCAAGGAGGAAGCCACGGCUAACUACGUGCCAGCCGCCGCGGUAA
rnacentral:rRNA from 1 species